GAGGUGAUGAGCAGUGGAACUUCUGAAAGGCUGAUUAAUUUCCUCUUGCGAUCUCUGACC
rnacentral:snoRNA from 1 species